CACGCCUCCGCACGCCCACGCCAAAUACGCUCCGUCGGCGCCGCACCCAUACCCUCCGCCGCCACCCCACCUGCGCGCCGCCCCGCCCUCCAUCCCGACGCCGCCCGCGACACAGCUCCGUCCCGAUUCCGGCAGCACCCAGGCCACCGGUGCUGGCCCUCUUCUCCUCCUCCAACCCCCAUCGGCGCCGGUCCCCUGCACGCCGCCCCGAUCUCCGCCAACCCCGGCCGCCUAGGCCUCCGCGGCGUCCCACCGGAGGGGGCCUCCGAUUCUGGCGACACCCAGGCCACCGGUGCCGGCCCCCUUCUCCUCCUCCAACCCCCAUCGGCGCCGGUCCCCUGCACGGCGCCAUCAGUGCUGACCGCCGGCCCUUUUCUCCGAUGCGCUGCAAGCCCCCUUCCUCACGCCGACUGCUCCUUCCCUGACUCGGCGUCGGCCCAAGUUGCAUGAAUAUCAGUACAAUAUGGGGUUGCUCUUGAUCGAGAUGAAAGAACCCAAAGUAUGUGGUCUCUGAAUCCUGCGUGCGUCUCCGAAUCAUAUGAGCAUCAUAUUUUAUCAAUAAAAUACAUGUUAAUUUUGAUUAUUUUGUCUUCUUUGCUAUGGACUUCUAUGCAUGUAUUGAGAAAGAUCAAAACCAUACUUUUUUUAUGGUCCAUA